UACGUAGGGUGCGAGCGUUAAUCGGAAUUACUGGGCAUAAAGCGUGCGCAGGCGGUGAUGUAAGACAGAUGUGAAAUCCCCGGGCUCAACCUGGGAACUGCAUUUGUGACUGCAUCGCUGGAGUGCGGCAGAGGGGGAUGGAAUUCCGCGUGUAGCAGUGAAAUGCGUAGAUAUGCGGAGGAACACCGAUGGCGAAGGCAAUCCCCUGGGCCUGCACUGACGCUCAUGCACGAAAGCGUGGGGAGCAAACAGG
rnacentral:rRNA from 1 species